rnacentral:rRNA from 1 species
CCUGAUCCAGCAAUGCCGCGUGAGUGAAGAAGGCCUUCGGGUUGUAAAGCUCUUUCAGUCGAGAAGAAAAGAUCGUGACUAAUAAUCAUGAUUCAUGACGGUAUCGACAGAAGAAGCACCGGCUAACUACGUGCCAGCAGCCGCGGUAAUA